CUGCCUCUGCAUUCCCCUGGCGCCUGCCUGCUGGGCGGGGUGACUUGUGGGGUCUGCAGUAUUUGGCUGUAGGGCAGAUUUAACCCGACUGGCAAAGGAACUGGAUGCAACAUGAGACAAGGAAUUUUUUGGCCAGCAUUUAUUGCCCAUCCCUCAUUGCCCUUGGAAAAUAUGGUGCUGAGGACCAUCUUGAAUUGCCCCACCCCGUGUGGUGAACGAGCUCCCACAGUGCUCUUGGGGAGGGAGUUCCAUGAUUAAACCCAACAACAAUGAUAAGAUGGAGACAUAUAAGGAUGAUGUGCAACUUGGAGGGUACCCCACAGGUUGUGGUGUUUGCCUGAGCCUUCAGCCCUUACCCUCCUUGGUAGUAGAGUUGCAGGUUAGGAGGUGCUGUUAGAGUUGCCUGGGUGAGUAACCACGGUGCACUUUGUAACUGGCGGACAUUACACCCGUGAUGUGUCAGCGAUGGAAGGCGUGCAUGUUUAGGCUAGUGGGCGUAGUGCCAAUUUAGGGCUUUGUCUGAGAUUUUUAUUCAGAAAGAGAUUAAUAUAGAGAUCUGUGCAAUUCUCAAUUCAAAAUACUGUACAACUAAUGCCUGCAUUUUUCAUUUUCUAUUUAUUUUGAAAUUCUAUCCAAUAGUUUCCAUUAUGUUGUUGAUUAGAUUUCCUGGAAAUUGGUUGCAAAGCCAACUAGAUUUAUUAAAACCAGCUUCAGAUUUUCACUACGAAGUAAAUCAGCAACUUUUAGCACCAGGUUUGUGCUGCAAACAAUGAAGAUAGCAACCUUAACAGUGAUGGUGAUAGCUAUUAAGAAUGGAUUAUUGAAACAGCUGUUACAUCCUUCCAUAUGGAUGCUUGUCACGUCACUGAAUAAUUUAAUAGGAUUAAAUCAGCAAGAGAUUGUUUUCAUAUCUUCCUCCUGCUCUCUGGACUCCUAUGUCUAAUGACAAGGAACUAUUUCAGAGAACUUCACCAGAAAACUUCACAGGAUUUUUAAUAUUGUAAUCAUCUUAAAUGUAAUAUGUUGAAAAUUUUAUAUAAAUAUAUCAUGACUGUGUGAAGAGUGAAUAUGCACAUUGAGGUGUGUGUGUAUCCAUAGAGAGUGAGUGUGUGUGCUUGUGUGUGUAUGUACAUGUGUGAGUUUGUGUAGGACUUGGUAUCCAACCAUCUUUUUAAAGAAUUCACACACAGGCAUCUCUCACUCUUCAGAACUGGGGUGGAAAUAAGUCACCCUGAACUGCUGCCAAAGAAAAAAAAAUGCAUGCAGUUGUAGUGGUUUAUAUUUCAGUGUUAAAGUACUUUCUAUGUUUUUGGUCUCCUGGGUGUAGGUGGGUUGGUGCUACAAAGAGGCUCUGCUGACUUAUUGCUUUGUUCUUCAGGCUCAUUGACACAGUUGGGUUGCCAAGGUUUUAACUAAUUUGCCAUCUGUGAGUUUGCUUUCUCCUCCUGGGAGAAAGAUGUGGUAUUGGGUACGAGAUGGGUUGUGCCAAACAAGCUGGCAGAAUCUGGAACCAGGUUCUGAAGGCACCACUCAGUUUCUAUUGCAGGCAGUCUGAACAAACAUGAGCUUCGCUAAGUUACAUGGUGAGUUUCUCCAAGGGCGUGGUCAGGUGUUGCAGACUUUGCUUUUCUGUUCAGUGGAGGUUCUGAAUAUUAACAAGUAGCUUUCCAAAAUGUUGUAUUUCUUCAUGGCAUGGGAAGACAUCAUUUGGCCCAUUGGGUUUAAACUGUUUUUCAAAGUAAUCCCAUCAAUCCCAUUCCCUCACGUCUUUCCCUGUUACCUAUUCUGCCUCACAUGCCCAUCAACUUCACCCCAAUUCUCCUGCCACCCACCUACACCAGGGGUAAUUUACAGCAGCCAAUUAACCUAACAACCCUUUGGGAUGUGGGAGGAAACCGGAGCACCCAGACAAAACCCACGCCUUCAAAGGCAGAACAUGCAAACUCCACACAGACAGGACCAGAGGUCAGGAUUAAAUCCGGGUCACUGAAGCUGUGAGGCAGCGGCUCUACCAGCUGUGUCAUUGUGCCACCCUGGUCUUCUAGUCUGUCCAUGCAGUGAGGCGUGGAGGACAUGGGGAAGAAUUAAUGAGUUAAAUGUCACUUCAGGAUCACGUGGCUAAAAGGAAAAUAACUCCAUUUACCCAUAUCUGCAGUUCUCUGCGGAAUAUCCCUUUGUAGGCUAACCUCCAAUAUACAGCACGGAAACAGGCCAUUGAGCCCAGCCAGUCCACGUCAGUCUUAAUGCUCCAUUCCGGCCUCCUCUCAUCUUUCCCCCUCUACGCCUCUCGGUGUGACCCUCUACUCCUCUUCCCUCAUAUGCUUGUCAAGCUUCCCCUUAAUGCACUGACAUGAUUCCACUCAUCCACUCCCUGUGGGGGAGGCUCCACAUUCUCACUGUUUUCUGGGUAAAGAAGCUUCUUCUGAAUUCCCCACAGGAUUUCUUGGUGACAUCCUAUGUUAAUGGCCUCUAGUUCUACUCUUCCUCACAAGUGCAAACAUUUGCUCUAUGUCCACUCGAUUAAAACUUUUCAUCAUUUUAAAGAUGAAAAGUCCAGCUACCACCUCUGACCUCGUUCAGCUCUGCCCUUGCCACCCUUGGGUUUUCUGAGGCUGAUUUGCGCUGUCAACCUGGGAUUGGUGGAAACCAGACUAAAAGGCAGUGGCACCUUCUUGUUAACGUGGUCUUGCCCUGCACAUGGUGCCUUACUGGCAGUGUGGCUCCAUCACUGGAUCCCACCAGGGGCUGUGUUCCUAUUCCUCUAGCAUCUCACCUCAUGGUCCCCUCAAACCUCUCAAAUAUAAUCCUUGCUCUCUACUGCCAACCCAAGCUCCAUGUAAGUUUACCCUCUCAGGGACCUCACUCCUUUCUUUCCUCCUUCAGCCUCUGGUCUGUAUGAGUUCAAGCUCACUCUCAACACACCACAUUUUUUGCCCCUCUGAACUCUUUGCCCUCCAAGUUCUACUUAAUCACUCUCCAGCCUGGCUCCCUUAUUCAUAUCCACAAAUAACAGCCCCCAUCCCAAGGUGACCUUGCUGCACCCUCUUAUUGCUCCCAUUAACCACUGAGCGGAAGACCUCUACAACUUAUCCCCAUGGCAACCCUGACCUCACCUUGUCACAGAUAUUUCCUGUGUCCUAGCCAUCCCUCCCCACAUCUUCUCUGCAACUUAAAACUAACUUGUUGUUCUCUUUUUUCCCAGUUUUGACAAAUUUCCAGUAUCUGCAAUUUUUUGAUUUUCAUUUCCUGCAUCCUUCAUUUUUUUUGUCAGGUUUCCAGAACAAAGUGCCAGUUUCUGUAGUUGAAGAAGCUUCUGUUAAAAACAAUGCAGAAGGGGACCUUUCAGUCCAUCAGUGUCCUGCUGGCUCCCAAGGGAGCAAUCCCAACGGUCCCAUUCCCCCUCUCAUUAUUUCCCUGAAAUCCUCCAACUUAUCCUCUCCCACACAUGCCCACUGACUCCCUUUGAUUCUUUUUGUCAUCAACCUACAUGGAGGGCUAAUUUGCAGUGGCCAAUUAACCGACCAACCAGCAUGUCUUUGGGAUGUGGGAGAAAACCAGAGUACCCGAGGGAAAGCCACGCAGUCAAGGGAGAUCGUGUAAACUGCACGCGGACGGCAGCAAAGGUCAGGAUCGAACCCAAGUCCCUGGAGCUGUGAGGCAACAGCACUACCUGCUGCACCACUGUGCUGCCCACUUAGCUAUCUGCUGUGGUACCUAAAACUAUUAUUAUCCUAGAGUUUGUUAGUUCUCAUCAAAUCAGUGGCUCUUAAACAUUGAAAAUCUUGUGUUAGACUUUUUAAUCAUGGAAGAAUGGAAUGUUUCUUAGCCAUAUAUUGAUUCCUCACCACUGAGAAAGAGGCAGAAUGAAAUGCAAACAUAAUUACGUUUCACUCAGUAGAACAACAAUUAUGUAGACCAGAGUCUGUGCAGUUAAUAAUAAAAUUGGAGAGAUAUGCUGGUUGAUCAGUGCAAGGAGAGCUUGUUGAGUAAGAAACUCCAAAGUAAUUCAAAAAGGUUAAGUCAACCAAACUCUCCAUAUAUGGAAUUUUAUUUAAACGUUGACAUAAUUGUAUGGUGUGUGGCUAUCUGUGUUGUCAUGUCGAAGGAUUAAAUGAAA